GUGGGAACUCAGCCAUGGCCCCAUGUAAGGUCUGUAGGGCAGCCUGUAUCUGGCCCACCUCUUGGCCGGGGACCUAGGUGGGAUCUCAGCCAUGGCCCCAUGUAAGGUCUGUAGGGCAGCCUGUAUCUGGCCCACCUCUGGGCCGGGGACCUAGGUGGGAUCUCAGCCAUGGCCCCAUGUAAGGUCUGUAGGGCAGCCUGUAUCUGGCCCACCUCUUGGCCGGGGACCUAGGUGGGAUCUCAGCCGUACCUUUGUGCAGUAUGUGAACCUGGGCUGAACCUUUUUAUUUGACAAUUAUUUUUCACUGUAUGAUACAAAGUAUUCAGACCUCUUGACUUUUUCCACAUUUUGUAACGUUACAGCCUUAUUCUAAAAAUGGAUUAAAUAAAACAUUUCCCUCAUUAAUCUACACACAAUACCCCAUAAUGACAUCACAAUAGCCCAUAAUCACAAAGUUAAAAACCUUAUUUACAUAAGUAUUCAGACCCUUUGCUAUGAGACUCGAAAUUGAACUCAGGUGCAUCCUGUUUCCAUUAAUCAUCCUUGAGAUGUUUCUAUAACUUGACUGGAGUCCACCUGUGGUAAAUUCAAUUGAUUGGACAUGAUUUGGAAAGAAACACACCUGGCUAUAUAAGGUCCCACAGUCGACAGUGCAUGUCAGAGCAAAAACCAAGCCAUGAGGUCAAAGAAAUUGUCCGUAGAGCUCAGAGAGGAUUGUGAUGAGGUACAGAUCUGGGGGAAGGGUACCAAAAAAUGUCUGCAGUAUUGAAGGUCCCCAAGAACACAGUGGCCUCCAUCAUUAAAUCAAAGAAGUUUGGAACCACAAAGACUCUUCCUAGAUCUGUCCGCCCGGCCAAACUGAGCAGCAUCAUGCUGUGGGGAUGUUUUUCAGCGGCAGGGACUGGGAGGGAAAAGAUCAAGGGAAAGAUGAACGAUGCGAUGCAAAGUACAGAGAGAUCCUUGAUGAAAACCUGCCAAAGGUGCUUCAACAAAGUACUGAGUAAAGGGUCUGAAUACUUAUGUAAAUGUGAUAUUUUUUUACAUUUUUUUUAUACAUUUCAAAAAAAUCUGUUUUUGCUUUGUCAUUAUGGGGUAUUGUGUGUAGAUUAAUGAGAGAAAAACAAUUAAACCAUUUUCCUCCCUCUAGCUGGUGUUAUAGGUGAUAUAAUGUGUUAGUGCCCAGACGGCAUCCCCAGCCACGUCCUCAGAGCCUGCGCAGACCAGCUGGCUGUUUACGGACAUAUUCAAUCUCUCCAGCACUAACACAUUAUAUCACCUAUAACACCAGCUAGAACAUUAAAUAUUCAGUCAAAAAUGAUACAACUUUACAUUAUUUCAUGAUGAAUAAAAUAAAUCAUUAAUCUAAACAAUUUGAGGAAUUGUCUUUCAGAAAGAGUGUAGCAGAGGACUUAAUUGGUUGACAGAGAAUCAAGAGCAAAGGAUUGUGGGAUAGAUAGUAGAGUGGAAGGAGGGCAGAAAUGUUUUGGGCAGGAGGAGCUACUUAGGUCCAAAAGGCACUGUGUGCUUUUGGUCCAGCUGGUUCGAAUUCCAGAGCAAGGAACUUCAGCCUCAAUUUCUCUGGAUGAAAGUGUCUGCUAAAUGACUAUAAUCAUAGAUCUCAAUCAGUUGAAUCAGGACUGUUAUAUAGCUGGACCAAAAGCCUACAGUAGUCAGGGCAUCUUAGCAUAGCGUCUCUCUGCCAGGUGGGGCCUCGUUAGGGCUGUUACGGUUACCAUUACCGGCAGUCAAAUUCCACGUCACGGUAAUUAGGCAUCUCCAAGCUCUGCUGCUGGUGAUUGUUAACCAACUAAACUUGCUAACUACCUGGUACUCAGCAUUUUAUUGUGCCUCUAAUCACUCUGACAUCAAUGUAAAAUCAAAUCAAACACUUCAUGAGAGCCCAUGAGCUCAAGUGGAGCAACGUUUCUAUAGGGUAUGUCAUUAUGUAAGAAUACAGAGUGAUGACCUCUAUUAAAAAUAGGAGGAACCCAUCAGCUUUCUAUAGGCUAAGCCUACUAUAUUUAUUUAAGAACGUUCCUGAUAUUAAGCACAUUGCUUCUCUUUACAACAGGAGUAUAGCCUACCUGGCUGGCAUGAGAAUGAACCAGGGGAAACGCAUCCUCCAUUCUCUAUUCAAAUGCAUCUAUUUUUUUCUCCUGCCCGUUCUGAGACAAGAUAUGGAUAUGGUCCAUUCUAAAUCAAUACAUAUAUGCCAGGUACCUACUGCCAGGUACCUACUUUUACCUACUGCCAGGUACCUACUUUUACCUACUGCCAGGUACCUACUUUUACCUACUGCCAGGUACCUACUUUUACCUACUGCCAGGUACCUACUUUUACCUACUGCCAGGUACCUACUUGUACCUACUGCCAGGUACCUACUUGUACCUACUGCCAGGUAUCUACUUCUACCUACUACUAUGUACCUUCAACGACAUACUGCCAUGUACCUACUGCCAUGUACCUACUUGUACCUACUGCCAUGUACCUACUUGUACCUACUGCCAUGUACCUACUUCUACCUACUGCCAUGUACCUACUUC
ensembl:lncRNA